GACGAACGCUGGCGGCGUGCUUAACACAUGCAAGUCGAACGGAAAGGCCCUGCUUUUGUGGGGUGCUCGAGUGGCGAACGGGUGAGUAACACGUGAGUAACCUGCCCUUGACUUUGGGAUAACUUCAGGAAACUGGGGCUAAUACCGGAUAGGAGCUCCUGCUGCAUGGUGGGGGUUGGAAAGUUUCGGCGGUUGGGGAUGGACUCGCGGCUUAUCAGCUUGUUGGUGGGGUAGUGGCUUACCAAGGCUUUGACGGGUAGCCGGCCUGAGAGGGUGACCGGCCACAUUGGGCCUGAGAUACGGCCCAGACUCCUCCGGGAGGCAGCAGUGGGGAAUAUUGCACAAUGGGCGGAAGCCUGAUGCAGCACCGCCGCGUGCGGGAUGACGGCCUUCGGGUUGUAAACCGCUUUCGCCUGUGACGAAGCGUGAGUGACGGUAAUGGGUAAAGAAGCACCGGCUAACUACGUG
rnacentral:rRNA from 1 species